GUCUACAGUCUUAGCACCCUGAACGUGCCCAGAACGUCUGAUCUCAGAAGCCAAGCCAGGUUGGCCUAGUUAGUAUGUGGACCAGAGACUACCUGGGAAUACUGGGUGCUGUAGGCU
ensembl:rRNA 5S_rRNA 5S ribosomal RNA